GAUGAACGCUAGCGGCAGGCCUAAUACAUGCAAGUCAAGGGGGCAGCAAUGUCACCGGCGGACGGGUGCGUAACGCGUACAGAACGUGCCUCUGGGCGGGGGAUAGCGUUGGGAAACUGACGGUAAUACCCCAUGGCAUCGUGUCCCGGCAUCGGGGUGCGAUUAAAGUUUCGGCGCCUAGAGAUCGCUGUGCGUCCGAUUAGCUAGUUGGCGGGGUAACGGCCCACCAAGGCUUCGAUCGGUAGGGGGUGUGAGAGCAUGGCCCCCCACACGGGUACUGAGACACGGACCCGACUCCUACGGGAGGCAGCAGUAAGGAAUAUUGGACAAUGGGCGGAAGCCUGAUCCAGCCAUGCCGCGUGGAGGACGAAGGCGCUCAGCGUUGUAAACUCCUUUUGAGUGGGAACAAAACCCCGGACUUGUCCGGGCCUGAGGGUACCACUAGAAUAAGCACCGGCUAACUCCGUG
rnacentral:rRNA from 1 species